rnacentral:rRNA from 1 species
UACGAAGGGGGCUAGCGUUGUUCGGAAUUACUGGGCGUAAAGCGCGCGUAGGCGGUGAUCUUUGUCAGAGGUGAAAGCCUGGGGCUCAACUCCAGAAUUGCCUUUGAAACGGGAUCGCUUGAGUCCGAGAGAGGAUGGCGGAAUUCCUAGUGUAGAGGUGAAAUUCGUAGAUAUUAGGAAGAACACCGGUGGCGAAGGCGGCCAUCUGGCUCGGUACUGACGCUCAGGCGCGAAAGCUAGGGGAGCAAACAGG